rnacentral:rRNA from 1 species
CCUACGGGAGGCAGCAGUGAGGAAUAUUGGUCAAUGGCCGUAGGGCUGAACCAGCCAAGUCGCGUGCGGGAUGACGGUCCUAUGGAUUGUAAACUUCUUUUGUCCGGGAGUAAAGGGCGUCACGUGUGGCGUUUUGCGAGUACCUGAAGAAAAAGCACCGGCUAAUUCCGUGCCAGCAGCCGCGGUAAUACGGAGGAUCCGAGCGUUAUCCGGAUUUAUUGGGUUUAAAGGGUGCGUAGGCGGAAUGUCAAGCCGGCGGUAAAAUUCCGGGGCUCAACCCGGUCGUGCCGUGGGAACUGGCGUGCUUGAGUGCGCGGGAAGUAUGCGGAAUGCGUGGUGUAGCGGUGAAAUGCAUAGAUAUCACGCAGAACUCCGAUUGCGAAGGCAGCAUACGGGAGCGCAACUGACGCUGAUGCACGAAAGCGUGGGUAUCGAACAGGAUUAGAUACCCUAGUAGUC